CACACCUACAUCUGAAGCCUAGUCCGUGACAUGUCAGGUUUUUCAUCCGUUUGAAUCAUCGCUUUAUAAAAUCAAGAUCUUUUAUAAAAAGAACACCCACCUCUCACACCAAGGAGUAAAUGAGCUCUGCUGGGCACAGUGCAUGGUAUACAACAUGCUCAAUAAACGGUAGGCGGAAGAGGCGGUCAGCUUCCUCAGCCCUGUUCAUCUGAUCUUAACAGACUAAGCAGAACCGUGGAUGGAAACUCCUACAAGUCUGUGACCCGGUUUCCAAGAAGUAGAGUUGGGAGCUGAAAGAACAACAUAGCAACAUUCCCAUGAUGACUACAGGUCUACAUUCGGUUGGAAAGAAUUUUGACCCGCGCAUCAGGGGAGAGCUUGACGGAACGCUUUCCCAGUAAAGAAACCCAGGGCUAAGUGGACAGGUCCAACCCACUUAGCCUCAUCUUCGGACCCAGUAUUACAUAAGUCUUGUCUCAAGGAAUCCUGGAGACCUGGCCUAAGAUCACUGGCAGUUCUAGCUGGGGCUCAGAAUUGUGACCCAUGGGGUUUGGAGUCCAAUAGACCCUGGUUCAGAUCUUCAUUUCUCUAAGCCUCAGUUUCUUCCUGUGUGAAAGUAAUCGUAACAACGCUCUCCUUGCAAGACUGCCGUGAGGAUUAAAUGCGGUAUUGUGUCCGAAAGCA